UAGACAUUAACAUAAAAUAAAUGUCUACUUUAUGAUUUCCAUAAUUAUAAAAACUAUGUAUCUUGGCAGUGAUUUUAUAAUGCAGUGAAAUAUAUCUGUAGACUUUGUACCUGUGUGUAGGCUAUAUAUGGCUAUUGGCCUUAAUGGACAGACAUGCGUCUUUGUCCUGGUCAUUAACAGACCCGUCUGUGAUUAAUAGGCUACUAGAUAUAUGUGCAAACUUGUGGGACUCUUUUCCUUUCCCAGAACUUCAAACAGAUGACAUAAAUACUGAUUUUCCUUUGGAUUCAAAAUCUGUUGCUGCUUUUGGAAAGUUGUUGCAUGUGCUGUAGUCCAAGAUUGAACCUGAGUUUGUCUUUUUCUAAAAUCAGGUUUGUAAUGAAUCAUGAAUGAAACAUUAACCUGCUUAAAAAUAUCCAGUUUGCAGGAGCACCACAGUUAGCUCAGAUAAAUUCGACUAAUUGGAAACAACUUCUUAGAUACCUGAUUAUAAAACGUCCAUUUGUCCUGUCCUUUUAGCAAGCUAUCCAAUGGAGAGGUUAACACUUACCUUAUCUGCAGAGCAUCUGGACUAUUUUAUAAACCCUUUGUGGAGUAUUUCUUAUUAAAAAAGUGCUAUCCUCUCUUGUGAUAAAACAGACUUUAGACACAUUUUGAAAUGGCAGAAAAAACACACAUGUAAUUAACAACAUGAAUAAUAAAUGCUGGAAGGUCUUACUGGGACUAAUAUUAUUUGCACCUGUGCUGACUAUGUCCGGUAUAAAAACAUCUAUUGCUGUAAAUGCUUUUAACUUGUUAUUAAAUUCGUGAGGUUAUGUUCAGUUUUAAUGUGCUUAUUGUGUAAAACAGACUAUAAUGUAUUAUAACCUGUUGAUAAUAGGUCUACCGGCUUUUUCUUUUUACUAUUAAAAUAACAGCAUUUUCUUUCUUCUUUCUCCCCUCACCCACCCACUGUAUUGUUCCCCAGCUUCAGAAGCUGACCAAUCCUGUGUGAGCGAUAGCACAGUACUAUUUGCAUCAGGGGGAUACAAAUAGUUCGCUUUCCGUUUAGUGCUGUUAUUUCGUAUAGGAGAAAUCUGCUGUUCAGAUCAUGCCUGAAACCACCGUGAAAGCGCCCAAGAAGGGCUCAAAGAAAGCCGUGUCUAAGAGCGUUAGUAAGACCGGCAAGAAAAAGAGAAAGACAAGGAGGGAGAGCUACGCCAUCUACGUGUACAAGGUGCUGAAGCAAGUCCAUCCCGACACCGGCAUCUCGUCCAAGGCCAUGGGCAUCAUGAACUCGUUUGUGAGCGACAUCUUUGAGCGCAUCGCCGGUGAGGCCUCCCGUCUGGCUCACUACAACAAGCGCGCCACCAUCACUUCCAGGGAGAUCCAGACCGCCGUCCGCCUGCUGCUGCCCGGUGAGCUGGCCAAGCACGCCGUGUCUGAGGGCACCAAGGCCGUCACCAAGUACACCAGCUCUAAGUAAAUGUGCUGACAUAUGAUCAUCAACACACCGGCUCUUCUAAGAGCCACCCACUUCAUCUAAAGACAUGCUGUCUGCCGACAUCGAGCUGUGAUGCUGCCACCAGCUCCCACCAUCAUCCCUCUGUGUAGAGUCUAUGCACAUCAUUUUCAGCACUCAUGCUUGUACCUGGUCUGACUCUGCUAUUACACCUCCAAACCACUAGUCUGCGUCAGGUUUCUGUGAAGUGCUGUUAAGUGUAGUUGUUUCAAAACACACAUUAAACAUGUCUUUAUGGUGACAUUUUCAAAGACUUGGGCACAUUUUCCCUACAUAACAAAAUGGUAAUGUUAUUAGCACAAAAAUGUAAAAUGCCUAUGGCAAAUUAGCUUAGCAGCUAGCGGACAUUUCCUCGACUCAUAUGAAGCCAGAAUAAGUCUCACACAAGACAAAAUGCUAUUUUGUGGGGGCUUUAAUUUAAUGUUUCUAACCUGUGACAUGUAAGUAACUAAAAGCUUAAUUUCCACUGAGGGAAAUGCUUUGCCGCGUACAAAAAUAGCCAGGAGGUCUGUGUCACAGUGACUUGUAAUUACAUUUCUGGGGAGGUGAUAUCAGGAGGAGCAGACAUCUCAGGCCACACCACCACUGCUGCAACAGCAAAGGUGUCCACUCUCCACUGCUUCUCUGACAGGAGAAGGAGGUGCGCAAUAUGGAGGGGCAAGGGCCAGGCUGGCACACAUAGAGCCCAGGCUUGACUCGCAGCUGGCAUGAACGUCAUCCACCAUGAUGUGGCCCAGCAGGCAGAACCGAAGCAGACACCGCUGGAAGAAGACAUCUCUUUUUCAUUCUCCUUUAGUCUACUCAGAUGCUUACUGAAGAAAAAUGGGAGCUGAAUUUCAAGUUUAAUUGCUAAUGAGAACGGACAACUAUGAUAUUUUACUGAACUUGUAUGGGAUGUUUUUAUGUAACUGACUGACUGACUGGUUGAUUGAUUGCUUUUAGAGGGUGAAGCCUAUAGGAAAUAGAACUGGCGGUUCACAGUGUGAAACACUGCUGAAAGGUCCAACAGGAUGACAACAGAGGAGAGGGAGGCUGCUCUGGCCGUGUGGAGAUCCUGUGAAGGAGAGUCAAGCAGUCUCAGUAGAAUGGCCUGUUUCUUCAGU